UUCAAGAGUACGUGAAACCGUCCAGGGGUAAACCUGCGAAACUCGAAUGAACGAACGGAGAGAUUCAUCGUCAUUCCUCGGUGCACCUGUGCGCGUUCGAUGUAUCCGGCUUCGGUCGUUUGCACGGCGCACGCUCGUAGCGUCCGGGGACGGCGUGCACUUCUCUCUUAGUAAUACAUCGCGACCCGUUCGAUGUCGGUCUAAGUGCCUUUCGGGAGUCUCCGUUUCUAGUUCGCUAGUUUUGGAUACCGUGAAGUGCACCGACCGGCCGUUGGACGGUAGAUUUGAUGAAACGCUCACGCGCUAGCGCGCGUCAGGCCCGACGCAAGGCAACGUCGUACUCCGCGUCCUGCCCGAGUGCGGACGUAGAUGCGGCGCGCCUGUCGUCGCAGCCGUGCUGUCUCUGACCGUGUGCGUAUCUGUCUGCGAUGAUUCAGUUUCGGGCACUCGCAGGACCCGUCU
rnacentral:rRNA from 1 species